UUCGUGCUAGCGAACAUGAUAAUCAUGCUAAUAACAUAAUAAACCCGGUUUUUACACACUGGGGUCACAUUAUUUUUCCCAUCAUGUUCGAAAAAGUUUAACAAUAAAACCUUUAAAACUAUUUCCUACUCUUCAGGACAGGCUUUGUCAAGCCAACAUAAAGUUUGUACUCGAACUUUACAAUCUAGUUGUUUUAUACUGUUGUACGAGGUCUACUUAUGACGUUCGCGUGGUUUUUACAUUCAAAAUCAUAAAAAUCAAUAAGUAAUGGGUUAUUUUCUACCCAGGUUUUGAGGCCAGCUCUGAAAACACUCGGUUUUAAUGGGCGUGCCGCAUUGAAGACACUUGGAAGUAAAUGCCCACCACUUUGAUUUAGUAGCAGUUUGCGUAGUUGGAGCCUUCUGUGAAUUUGGUUAGAGACGUAGCGUUAGGUUACACAUUAGCACCAUUCACAGUUUUCGCAGGGCAUUAGUAUUAUCUGGAGACCUCCUGUGAUUUAUAAAUGACCUCCCCACAUCAGUAUUUCAUGCGACGUAUUCGCACGGGAUGUGAUGGCAAGGCUUUGUGUAUAGUUUGUAUAGCCUAUAGUUGUAUUGCGUUUAAUGAUAUAUGGCCGUACCUGUCAGCAUUUGAGACCAGUGAUCCCGAACCGGACAAAAGAUCACCGCGAUCACAGGUCUCAAAUGUCAAGCCGCCAUUAUUUGCAAACGGUGUAUAAAACCUUGAAAACUUAUAUAUGAGCCCACCAAAUCACAGAAAUGGCAAUUCGCACGGGCUUAAGAUCACAGACAACCUCUGCAAUUAAUACAAAUGAAUAGUGCUCAGGGCACAUCAAGCGAUCUCUAACAAAGCAAUAGAGACGCAUAGUACAAACAUGUUUUACUCACAUAAGAUUGCUGCGCCAUUCCUAUCGGAUCCAAUAUUGACGGCACAGACAGCACUGCUUUUUAAUUCGACCUGUGCCUUGUUCACGAAGGAAUCUUCAGAGAAAUUAAACGAACAAACGCUCCAUGUUUUUCCCACAUGAGCUGGAACGUCUUUAAAACUAAACUUUAACCACACAUUCCUAUCGGAAUCCAAAGGAAGGUUAUGCAGCGACUGUAUUCUUCCACAACUAGGGAUGGCACAAUAUUUAGCUAUCUUUAACGGCAUGUUUGUUUAUUGCUUGCUCGCUCUAUCUGGAUCCGCGCCACUGGUUCUGUCAUGCGCGAACCAGUGGGCGGGGCUAGACAAGUAGUCAUUGAUAUUUUUUCUUUUGGAGGCGGUGUUCAACCUAUCAAUAGGUGCAUUCCAGAACCUGGCGUUCGCUGAGCCUGGUGUCAAUAACAGAUGUAAUCUUAGUAACAAGGGCGUUUUCAGUUCUGACACUUACAUGAUGUUCGCGUGAAUACGAUUCCCUCUUAUAUAACAAAAACUCGGGUUAAAAUUGUGAUUUUAAUUCAUCGCACCUUUAAAUUGCGCGUGCUCGCCAAGUCUACGAGUCCGUAAGGUGUCCCAUUUUUAUUUUUAGCUCUCAGAAGUCUGCUCGCGAGCACCGUCUUUGUGCCCUCGAUGCGGUCUUCGGCGAAGCCCGCAUUGAUGCAGACUCCACUGAAGUUACCUACCCAGGAAUCCUUGCGAUUGCCCAAUCACAGAACGGAUGGGAGGAGUGUCGUGGACGUCAGACAUAUACGUAAACAUUACAGAUACAUUUUCAAAUACACAUUUUAGGUGUAAUGGGUUUGGACUGCCUGAUGACUUGUGACCAGGCCAAGAAGAAAUGGGAGAACCUCAAAUUCAAAUACAAGGCGGACCAGAGGGAUCCUCAAUCAUCAGUGAAACAGAGAAACAUGCAAAGUGUGACAUGCCUUCAGUGGUAAUAACUCAUUCCCCAUCAGGAGAUAACCAGUGCUCAGCAGCAGGCACCCAAUCCACAGAAGCCGAGCCUGGGCCAUCUGUAAUUUCAGAGAAAUAAAAAAGAGAGGUAAAGAAAAAAGAAAACAAAAAGCAAAGAAAUUAAGUGCUUGAGUAUAUCCGGGAAAAGGAAGAAAAACGACUAAAGGAGGAGUAAGACAAAGAAGAAAGAAAAGCAGACCAGACCUCAAAACAGAUCUAUCUAUCUAUAGAAAAUGUAAAUACAUUUUUUUGUUUCUUUUAUUCUUUUUUAAAUUGGUAUCACUUAUUUUUUUGAGUUUAUUAACAGUGUCU